UGCCUUACACACGCAAGUCGAACGGCAGCACGGGAGCAAUCCUGGUGGCGAGUGGCGAACGGGUGAGUAAUAUAUCGGAACGUGCCCAGUCGUGGGGGAUAACGCAGCGAAAGCUGUGCUAAUACCGCAUACGAUCUAUGGAUGAAAGCGGGGGAUCGCAAGACCUCGCGCGAUUGGAGCGGCCGAUAUCAGAUUAGGUAGUUGGUGGGGUAAAGGCUCACCAAGCCGACGAUCAGUAGCUGGUCUGAGAGGACGACCAGCCACACUGGAACUGAGACACGGUCCAGACUCCUACGGGAGGCAGCAGUGGGGAAUUUUGGACAAUGGGCGCAAGCCUGAUCCAGCCAUUCCGCGUGAGUGAAGAAGGCCUUCGGGUUGUAAAGCUC
rnacentral:rRNA from 1 species